GUAUUUCGUUUCCUUAAAAAAAACUCCAACAAUUUAACCAGGAAGUUCAUGUUUAAAAUGGCGGGCGGGGACAGGGAAAAAAUUUCGGCAUGUUAUUAUCAAAUCUGUUCAAUUUUUCUGAAAUCGUGCUUAAUUAACAUUAGUUGUUCGGCGCUACGAUGUUGUUCAAAUACGUACAUUACAGAAUCACAUUAUGAUUAAACCAGAAACGGCUCGACUUGAACCAGCAGGUAAGAAUCUGUUUUGAAAUUAUAUCUUGGGAGGUUGGAUUGGAUUGGCGGCCAUUUUGAUUCUUGUUUCAUGAUUUUUUAUAUUAUAAAGAUUUUGCCAAGAGUAGACAUAAACGCGGGCACAGACUAGAAAAAAUCUUUUUACACUUUUGUUCAGUGAUGAUAUGACUCAUUCCACCUUACAGUUACAGCAAUUACCGUAUUGAGAAUUUACCGUUCAAGGACUCCAUUUUGGCAUUGAAUUGGAAUUUGAAGAAAAACUGUUUCAAUAUUAGAUGUAUAUGCAAAUCACCCAGGAAAAGAUCAUGUAACAAAAGAAAUUAUAAAAGUAAAAAAAUGGAAGAAGAAAUGGCUGGAAAAAAUGAUGAUAGAGCAGCUUUUUCUUGUUAGCCACCUCGGAAGAUCAAGACAGCUGGAAAGGGCUAUUGAUAUUGUGGAAGUGUUUUCUUACAGAGGUUGCUUAUCAGACAAAGGCUAUUUAACUACAUCAGAAAGAUAAAAACAGUUGGAAAUGGCUAUUCAUAUUGUGGAAACUUUUCUCACAGAGCUUGAUAAUCAGGCAAAAUGCUGGAACACCCUUGAAGGAGUAUUUGAUGUAUGAUAACAACAAGAGAACCAAAGCAUCAAUUUAUUUUAUACUUCUGGGAAAGAAUGCAUUUGACCCAAUUUUUAAAUAUUUAUUUUUUGUUAUUAAUGUUAAAUUUUCUUCCAAAACACAAUUAGAUUUUAAUUCUCUUCAAAUAUGUAUGUAUAAUAUAGCAAGUAAACUGACAUAUAAAUCACUUAGAAUUUGGUCGGAAAUCAUAAAGUAUUUAAUAGGCAUUACUAGAAACCAAAUGUAGAUCAAAUACACCCAGAAUUACAAAAAACCUUGACCUACAUUAAGGUGACUUUCCCUUGCUUAUGAAAUGAAAUACGUUUUAAUAUCCUGCUUUUCUGUGUUCUUAGAGUGAUUCUACCCUACCCUUAUAUCAAAUAUUUCAACUGUCAAGGGUUCUUUAAAGGGUACCCAGGGGGGCCGAAUGGUUAACACGCACACAUUUGAUCAGAAGGUCUGUCAUUGAUUCAAAUAAUUCAAUUUUCAAGGGUUCUUCAAGGUGUACGCAGUUGGGUUGGUUUCGAAUCCCCGGUUGUAGACAAGGAGUAGGGUCGCCUGUCCAAUCUUGUGGGUUUUCUCCGGGACCUCCGGUUUCCUCCCACUGCUAAAGACCCCUACGCGCUAGCGAAUUAUUGAAUUAAAAUUAAACCAUAUGUUAGUCCCAAAAUGACCUAGUUUGUGUCGAGUAGACGUUAAACCCCAUUUCUCUCUGUCUCUCUCUCUUUUGAUUCUGGGCUUGUACCCAAUUAUCCCUUGCCAUAUCCAACACUGAAAAGUGGGAACCAUGCCGGAAAAUCCAGUUGAAAUUUCUCGGCCAACGCCUUAUGCUCACUGAACCACUGUGGCUUAUGACUUGUGAUUGUAUAUAAAUCUUUUGUACAUAUGAUAUUUUUUUAUUUCAAUCCUGUAAUCUUGAUGCUUUGCUUCUUUUAUUUAUAAAAUAUUCAUUUUGUU